GAACCGAGAUAAGUGUUAGUGAGGUUACAAGGCUCAAGAUAAUGUACAAUAUUCUUAACGCAGCCUUUUUAGUCUGAACAAGCACUAGUCCCUGUCAUUAUAUUGUCAAGUGUACGCACAAUGAUUCUGAAGUUAACUGUCUUCGUGGCCUUGGCAUGUGUGACCCUGGCAGCACCAGUACGAGACCAAGAAGACCAACUGCCGAUUCCGCUCAAGUUUAACCCUAUCUGGGCUUCCCUUGCUGCUCUCUUGGAGAACUUCACACCGCUGCCUACAUUGGUUGUUCCUGACAAACAGUUGCUGGGAAAUACGGGAACUGGGCCCAUAGUGUAGACAUGCUCUCACAGUGGGGAUGAUUUAUACUGGAAACACUGCAAUAGUGCAAGUGACUGAAGGACCAGCGUUGCGGCUACUCAUUUAAAGGCUCCAGUACAGGCAGGAAUUCUACAAUUAAAUAAUUCCUAAUCAUCAA